rnacentral:lncRNA from 1 species
AAUCGUGUGAUGUGUGCGGGUGGGUGAGGGUGAGUCUGGGCGUGGGGUUGUGGGUAUGUCGCGUGGUAGACCGGCGAGGGCAGGGCACGAGCAGAGCGAGGGCGAGGGAGGAGCGUCGGAAGGGUGCAGGCACGGCGAGAGCGAGGGGUGAGGGCAGGGCAAGGGCAGGGCGAAGGCGAGGGCAGGGUUAGGGGAGGUGUAGAGCUGGGCAAGGGCUGGGCGAAGGCGGGGCGACAUUGAGGGCGGGGCGUAGGCGGGGCAAGGGUGGGGCGAGGGCAGGGCGAGGGUGACGGCCGGGCGAAGGCAGGGCGAAAGAUAGGGCAGGGCAGGGGCGGGGCGAGGGUGAGGG